rnacentral:rRNA from 1 species
GACGAACGCUGGCGGCGUGCUUAACACAUGCAAGUCGAACGGAAAGGCCCUGCUUUUGUGGGGUGCUCGAGUGGCGAACGGGUGAGUAACACGAGAGUAACCUGCCCUUGACUUUGGGAUAACUUCAGGAAACUGGGGCUAAUACCGGAUAGGAGCUCCUGCUGCAUGGUGGGGGUUGGAAAGUUUCGGCGGUUGGGGAUGGACUCGCGGCUUAUCCGCUUGUUGGUGGGGUAGUGGCUUACCAAGGCUUUGACGGAUAGCCGGCCUGAGAGCGUGACCGGCCACAUUGCGACUGCGAUACGGCCCAGAAGCCUACGUGAGGCAGCAGUGGGGAAUAUUGCACAAUGGGCGGAAGCCUGAUGCAGCAACGCCGCGUGCGGGAUGACGGCCUUCGGGUUGUAAACCGCUUUCGCCUGUGACGAAGAGUGAGUGACGGUAAUGGGUAAAAAAGCACCGGCUAACUACGUG